AGAGUUUGAUCCUGGCUCAGGAUGAACGCUAGCGGCAGGCUUAAUACAUGCAAGUCGAGGGGCAGCACGGGUAGCAAUACCUGGUGGCGACCGGCGCACGGGCGUAACGCGUAUGCAACCUGCCUUAUACCGGGGAAUAGCCCAUGGAAACGUGGAUUAAAGUCCCAUAGAAUCAAGAUAUCGCAUGGUAUUAUGAUUAAAACUGAGGUGGUAUAAGAUGGGCAUGCGUCUGAUUAGGUAGUUGGUGAGGUAACGGCUCACCAAGCCGACGAUCAGUAGGGGUUCUGAGAGGAUUACCCCCCACACUGGUACUGAGACACGGACCAGACUCCUACGGGAGGCAGCAGUGAGGAAUAUUGGUCAAUGGCCGGAAGGCUGAACCAGCCAUCCCGCGUGCAGGAUGACGGCCCUAUGGGUUGUAAACUGCUUUUGUACGGGAAGAAUAGGCCCACGUGUNNNNNNNNNNNNNNGUUGGAGGAAGCCACGGCUAACUACGUGCCAGCAGCCGCGGUAAUACGUAGGUGGCAAGCGUUGUCCGGAAUUAUUGGGCGUAAAGGGUGCGUAGGCGGCUUUUUAAGUCAGUGGUGAAAUCCUGCCGCUUAACGGUAAAAUUGCCAUUGAUACUGAAGAGCUUGAGUACAGUUGAGGUAGGCGGAAUGUGUAGUGUAGCGGUGAAAUGCUUAGAUAUUACACAGAACACCAAUUGCGAAGGCAGCUUACUAAACUGUGACUGACGCUGAUGCACGAAAGCGUGGGGAGCGAACAGGAUUAGAUACCCUGGUAGUCCACGCCGUAAACGAUGCUCACUCGCUGUUUGCGAUACACAGCAAGCGGCCAAGCGAAAGCAUUAAGUGAGCCACCUGGGGAGUACGAUCGCAAGGUUGAAACUCAAAGGAAUUGACGGGGGCCCGCACAAGCGGAGGAACAUGUGGUUUAAUUCGAUGAUACGCGAGGACCUUACCUGGGCUUAAAUGUAGAGCGACAGAUUGUGAAAGCAGUCCUUCUUCGGACGAUCUACAAGGUGCUGCAUGGUUGUCGUCAGCUCGUGCCGUGAGGUGUCGGGUUAAGUCCCAUAACGAGCGCAACCCUUGUCGUUAGUUACCAUCAAGUAAUGUUGGGGACUCUAAAGGAACUGCCACCGUAAGGUGAGAGGAAGGUGGGGAUGACGUCAAAUCAGCACGGCCCUUAUGUCCAGGGCUACACACGUGUUACAAUGGCCGAUACAAAGGGCAGCUACUCCGCGAGGAGAUGCUAAUCUCUAAAGUCGGUCCCAGUUCGGAUUGGAGUCUGCAACCCGACUCCAUGAAGUUGGAUUCGCUAGUAAUCGCGCAUCAGCCAUGGCGCGGUGAAUACGUUCCCGGGCCUUGUACACACCGCCCGUCAAACCAUGGGAGCUGGGGGUGCCUGAAGCAGGCCACCGCAAGGAGCGGCCUAGGG
rnacentral:rRNA from 1 species